rnacentral:rRNA from 1 species
UGGGGAAUAUUGCACAAUGGGCGCAAGCCUGAUGCAGCCAUGCCGCGUGUAUGAAGAAGGCCUUCGGGUUGUAAAGUACUUUCAGCGGGGAGGAAGGGAGUAAAGUUAAUACCUUUACUCAUUGACGUCACCCGCAGAAGAAGCACCGGCUAACUCCGUGCCAGCAGCCGCGGUAAUACGGAGGGUGCAAGCGUUAAUCGGAAUUACUGGGCGUAAAGCGCACGCAGGCGGUUUGUUAAGUCAGAUGUGAAAUCCCCGGGCUCAACCUGGGAACUGCAUCUGAUACUGGCAAGCUUGAGUCUCGUAGAGGGGGGUAGAAUUCCAGGUGUAGCGGUGAAAUGCGUAGAGAUCUGGAGGAAUACCGGUGGCGAAGGCGGCCCCCUGGACGAAGACUGACGCUCAGGUGCGAAAGCGUGGGGAGCAAACAGG